GAUGAACGCUGGCGGCGUGCCUAAUACAUGCAAGUCGAACGAACGGACCAGAAGCUUGCUUCUCUGAUGUUAGCGGCGGACGGGAGAGUAACAUGUGGAUAACCUACCUAUAAGACUGGGAUAAUUACGGGAAACCGGAGCUAAUACCGGAUAAUAUUUUGAACCGCAUGGUUCAAAAGUGAAAGUCGGUAUUGCUGUAACUAAUAGAUGGAUCCGCGCUGCAUUAGCUAGUUGGUAAGGUAACGGCUUACCAAGGCAACGAUGCAUAGCCGACCUGCGAGGGUGGUCGGCCACAUGGGAACGGAGCCAGGGUCCAGACUCCUACGGGAGGCAGCAGUAGGGAAUCUUCCGCAAUGGGGGAAAGCCUGACGGAGCAACGCCGCGUGAGUGAUGAAGGUCUUCGGAUCGUAAAACUCUGUUAUUAGGGGAGAACAUAUGUGUAAUUAACUGUGCACAUCUUGACGGUACCGAAUCAAAAAGCCACGGCUAACUACGUG
rnacentral:rRNA from 1 species